rnacentral:rRNA from 1 species
GAUGAACGCUGGCGGCGUGCCUAAUACAUGCAAGUCGAACGCUUCACUUCGGUGAAGAGUGGCGAACGGGUGAGUAAUACAUAAGUAACCUGGCAUCUACAGGGGGAUAACUGAUGGAAACGUCAGCUAAGACCGCAUAGGUGUAGAGAUCGCAUGAACUCUAUAUGAAAAGUGCUACGGGACUGGUAGAUGAUGGACUUAUGGCGCAUUAGCUAGUUGGUAGGGUAACGGCCUACCAAGGCGACGAUGCGUAGCCGACCUGAGAGGGUGACCGGCCACACUGGGACUGAGACACGGCCCAGACUCCUACGGGAGGCAGCAGUAGGGAAUUUUCGGCAAUGGGGGAAACCCUGACCGAGCAACGCCGCGUGAAGGAAGAAGUAAUUCGUUAUGUAAACUUCUGUCAUAGAGGAAGAACGGUGGAUAUAGGGAAUGAUAUCCAAGUGACGGUACUCUAUAAGAAAG